AGAGUUAUAGGUUAAUGAAACCUUUGGCCUUCAAAGCCAAGAAUGAGAAAAUCUAACUUUG
rnacentral:tRNA from 1 species